GACGAACGCUGGCGGCGUGCCUAAUACAUGCAAGUCGAGCGAAUCUUGAGGUGCUUGCACCUCUUGGUUAGCGGCGGACGGGUGAGUAACACGUGGGCAACCUGCCUGUAAGACUGGGAUAACUUCGGGAAACCGGAGCUAAUACCGGAUAAUCCUUUUCCUCUCAUGAGGAAAAGCUGAAAGUCGGUUUACGCUGACACUUACAGAUGGGCCCGCGGCGCAUUAGCUAGUUGGUGAGGUAACGGCUCACCAAGGCGACGAUGCGUAGCCGACCUGAGAGGGUGAUCGGCCACACUGGGACUGAGACACGGCCCAGACUCCUACGGGAGGCAGCAGUAGGGAAUCUUCCGCAAUGGACGAAAGUCUGACGGAGCAACGCCGCGUGAGCGAUGAAGGCCUUCGGGUCGUAAAGCUCUGUUGUUAGGGAAGAACAAGUAUCGGAGUAACUGCCGGUACCUUGACGGUACCUAACCAGAAAGCCACGGCUAACUACGUGCCAGCCGCCGCAGUAACAC
rnacentral:rRNA from 1 species